CAUUUGUCUAUUUUGCCCAGCUCUCAAACUGUGUGUUGUGUGUCUGUCUGUCUGCCAAUCGCCAGCCUGUCUGUCGGUAGGAGUUCCAGAUGUGGCUGGAGGAGUGGUGGUGGCCAUUGGAGGGCAACUCUACUGGAGCACAUGUAGGAGCUCAUCGUCAUGGAGUUAAUCUAUAACCGCUGAUACAAGUAGAUAUCCCAUAUUAGGAGAGGUGAGCACUUAUCAGAUCCUCUACUGUCCUUCACCCCUUGGUGCAGUCUGCUGACCAUCGCUGGGGCCAGGAAAAAGUCUGUCAAUCAAAGUAGGAGCCAAGUUCAUCACCAUGCAACACUCUACUGACCGAGGUUCCAGGUGAUCUCCCAUCUUCUUCAUAGUGGCCUCAGCUGGACUCCACUGCAUAACCUCUUGGUCAGCUGGACCCCACCCCAUAACCUCUAGCCAGGUGAAUCAAGAGCUUCACCAGAGACGGAAGUGGAUGCGAGACAUCCCGGCGUUCCUACGUCACUGCCUUAUCAGCUUGUUUCCCUACUCCAGUACACUAUCAGUACACAUUUUUAUUGUAGCCCCAGACAAGCACACCUGAUUCAACUUGUCAGCUAAUCAUCAAGUCCUCAAUGAG